ACAUUUCUCUUGCUUGCUUCGUGGGAGCUUUGGAAUGAACUGAAUGGACAGUUCUUCAGGAAUGUAUCUUCUAUGCCUAGAGUAGUUGAGCGUUAAAUCAAAGAUGAAUCAGCCUUGUGGGUUUUUGCUGGGGCAAAGCAUUUAAGUUUGAUCAUGCCAGAUCCUCAAAAGACAAACUUUGAUCAUGCCACGAGAGUAGAAACUUUCGGACACGAGAGUUUGUUCUCUUGUAACUAUUUCCAAAUUCUUUCCUAA
rnacentral:rRNA from 1 species